rnacentral:rRNA from 1 species
UACAGAGGUGGCAAGCGUUGUUCGGAAUUACUGGGCGUAAAGGGCGCGUAGGCGGUUCGUUAAGUCCUGUGUGAAAUCCCCCGGCUCAACUGGGGAACUGCACAGGAAACUAGCGGGCUUGAGUUCGGGAGAGGGAAGCGGAAUUCCGGGUGUAGCGGUGAAAUGCGUAGAUAUCCGGAGGACACCGGUGGCGAAGGCGGCUUCCUGGACCGACACUGACGCUGAGGCGCGAAAGCUAGGGGAGC